GCAAGAGAUCAAAUUUGAAAGCUGGCCCCCUCGGUCCGCGUUGUAAUUUGCAGAGGAUGCUUCGGGUGCAGCCCCCGUCUAAGUGCCCUGGAACGGGCCGUCAUAGAGGGUGAGAAUCCCGUCUGGGACGGUGUCUGCGUCCGUGUGAAGCUCCUUCGAACGAGUCGAGUUGUUUGGGAAUGCAGCUCUAAAUGGGUGGUAAAUUUCAUCUAAAGCUAAAUACUGGCCGGAGACCGAUAGCGCACAA
rnacentral:rRNA from 1 species